rnacentral:rRNA from 1 species
CAAAUGAAUUGACGGGGGCCCGCACAAGCGGUGGAGCAUGUGGUUUAAUUCGAUGCAACGCGAAGAACCUUACCUGGUCUUGACAUCCACAGAACUUUGCAGAGAUGGAUUGGUGCCUUCGGGAACUGUGAGACAGGUGCUGCAUGGCUGUCGUCAGCUCGUGUUGUGAAAUGUUGGGUUAAGUCCCGCAACGAGCGCAACCCUUAUCCUUUGUUGCCAGCGGUUCGGCCGGGAACUCAAAGGAGACUGCCAGUGAUAAACUGGAGGAAGGUGGGGAUGACGUCAAGUCAUCAUGGCCCUUACGACCAGGGCUACACACGUGCUACAAUGGCAUAUACAAAGAGAAGCGCCCUCGCGAGAGCAAGCGGACCUCAUAAAGUAUGUCGUAGUCCGGAUUGGAGUCUGCAACUCGACUCCAUGAAGUCGGAAUCGCUAGUAAUCGUAGAUCAGAAUGCUACGGUGAAUACGUUCCCGGGCCUUGUACAC